rnacentral:tmRNA from 1 species
GGGGGCGUAACGGCUUCGACGGGAUGGAUCUGUUUUAGGAAGGCGUGCCGGGUUCCAGGCUCCCGUAAAACGACUGGAAAAACAAAACUGCCAACACGCAGUUUGCCUACGCUGCCUAAUUAAUUAGGUGGCCGCCACCGCUCACAGACCCGCAUGGGGGCGUCAUGGCGUCAUCUGGCGGGAUCGGGCGCAAGCUUCUGUCCGGAGCCCAUGCCUUAAACCCAAUCGGACUGGGCCGCUUCCGGGGCGCCGGUUGUCGCGGUUGUGGCCGACAUUAAACAGCCGGAUACGCACGUAGGCUUUCUAGGGCCGGCCAUUUCGGACGCGGGUUCAACUCCCGCCGCCUCCACCA